UCCCGUCGCCGUUUUCCCCCUACAGCAGUCCCCCGCAAUUCUGGAAUUCUGAGAGCCCGCCGUCGCCGGAGACGAUCAGACGGCGCGCCCACACUCCGCGCGGCCGAAGCCACAUGGCGCCAAAGAAGAAGCAGCCGGCCUCGAAACAGAAGCAGAAGCAGAAGCCACCCUCCUCCUCGUCCUCCGCCGCCGCCGCAGCCGCGCCGCGCCUCCAGAUCUCGUCGGAGAACGAGCGCCGCCUCCGCCGCCUCCUCCUCAACUCCUCCGCCACAGCCGCCCCGGUACCCGCGCCCACAGACGCUCCGGGGGCCCGCGGCGAGUCGAGGGAGCAGAAGGCGCGGCGGCUGCGCGGUGUGUACGACAAGCUCGCGCUCGAGGGCUUCUCCUCCGCGCAAAUCGAGCAGGCCCUCUCCGCUCUAUCCGAUUCGGCGACGUUUGAGUCGGCGUUGGACUGGCUGUGCUUUAAUCUGCUAGGCGACGAGCUCCCCCUCAAAUUCUCCAGCGGCACCAGCGGCACCACCUCUGGCGCAGGAGCUGAGGGUUCUGUUAAGGUACUGUCCACAGCCAAGGACAAUUGGGUACCACAGAGUCGUGAACCUGAGGUGGUGAAAGGGAGCACCGAGGGGUUGGAAAUAAGAAUUGGUUGGCGGCGGGAAGAGGAUGUAUCAUUGGAUGACGGGCGCUCAUCGCAAGCUGCAUGGAUUCGGCAAUACAUGGAGCAACAAGAGGAGGAGGAUGAUGCAAAUUCUAAUGAUUCCUCCACAUGGGAAGAUCACUGUUCACCGACUUUUGAAGUUGUCGAAGCAAAGCCAAGUAGGCGGAAGAGCAAGGCUGCAAAAAAGAAUUCCAAGUAUGGAAACUCGAAGGAACAUACAAGCCAUUCCGCACAUUCUGCAUCUUCAAAUUCAGAAACUGCAAAGGUUGAGGGUGAUCACAAUGAUUUAGAGGCAACUGAGAAUAAAUCUGACAGUCUAGUCAAUAUUGACGAAGGAUCUGAUUUGCAAAAGGCAAUUCCUAAGGAUGCCGGUGAAACUUGCACGAAGGAGACAGAACAAGAGGAAGUAGAGCUUGAUAACCUGUUCUUUGAAGACUCAUCUGCUUGGGAGGCAGUGGCUCCAGAAAUCUUGAAACAGCAAAAAAUAGAGAAAUUAUCACAUGAUGGUUAUGGGCAUCUUCUUGGAAACAUAGAUGAUAUAUGGAAAAAGGGAGAUUCUGGUAAAAUGCCAAAAGCUAUUCUACAAAAAUUUUGUCAGAAACUUGGUUGGGAAGCUCCAAAGUAUAGUAAAAUAUCUGAGAAAGAUGGUAAAUUUGUGUAUGCUGUUAAUGUAUUGCGGGGUGCUACUGGCCGUGGUAAGAGUCGGAAGGCUGGAGGCUUGACGAAAAUCCUGUUACCUGAACUAGAUGAAGAAUAUGGAUCUGUUGAGGAAGUGCAAAGUCGAGUAGCAGCUUUUGCUCUAUAUCAAUUCUUUGCUGACCUUCCACUACGUCAGUUGCUUACUGAGCCAUACUCAUCACUUGUUUUAAGAUGGCAAGAAGGUGAAUUAUCAUCAACAUCAAGGGUGCUGGAUACUGAGGAUAGUCGAAGAGCUGGCUUUGUAGAUAUGCUAUUGAAUAUGGAUGCAGAUACAGAUUGUACAUCUCAAAUCGGAGAUACUUCUGCUGGUGGCAUAUUGGUAGAUUCUAGGAACACUGAAGAAAACAAAUCUGUCUAUAAGAAGAGAGAGACUACCAUACCGAGUCGUACGGGAUCGAGAUCCCCGGAGCAUGCAGAGAGUGCAAUUUUGAAAAAACAGUUGGAAGAUAAAAGGAAGCUACCGAAUUACUUGAAAAUGCUGGUAGCAAGAGCUUCUCUACCAAUUGCUAGACAGAAGAAACAUUUCUUACAACUGCUGAAAGAGAAUGAUGUAAUUGUUGUUAGUGGAGAAACUGGAUGUGGGAAAACAACUCAGGUGCCACAAUUUAUUUUGGAUGACAUGAUUGAGUCUGAACUUGGAGGUUAUUGCAAUAUAGUUUGCACACAACCCCGUAGGAUAGCGGCCAUUUCUGUGGCGGAAAGAGUGUCUGAUGAAAGGUGUGAAUCUUCACCUGGAUCGAAUGAUUCACUGGUCGGAUAUCAAGUUCGUCUUGAUAGUGCCCGGAAUGAGAAGACAAAGCUUUUAUUCUGUACUACUGGUAUCCUUCUUAGAAAAUUAUCUGGAAACAGAGACUUAAGUGAAGUUACUCAUGUUGUAGUAGAUGAAGUACAUGAACGUACUAUUUUGGGUGAUUUCCUGCUUACUGUUCUUAAGAAUCUCGUUGAGAAACGUUCUAAUCAACAAGGAAGGAAGUUGAAAGUGAUUCUCAUGUCGGCUACUGUUGAUUCAAGCCUAUUUGCACGUUAUUUUGGAGAAUGCCCUGUGAUUACUGUUGAAGGAAGGACACAUCCGGUGUCAACCCACUUCCUUGAGGAUGUUUAUGAGGAAAUGGAGUACUGUCUUGAAUUGGAUUCUCCUGCAUCAGGAGCAUACUUCGCACAGCAUGGAGAAAAGUGGAAGCAUGCUAGCAGCUCAGUGAAUAACCGACGAGGAAACAAGAACCUUGUCUUAUCCUCAUGGGGUGACGAGUCAACGCUUUCUGAAGGCUAUGUUAAUCCUCAUUAUACUUCUGACUGCUAUAAGUCAUACAGUGAAAGAACCAACCAAAAUCUAAAACGCUUGAAUGAAGAUGUGAUUGAUUUUGAUCUGUUGGAAGAUUUGAUAUGCUAUAUUGAUGAGAACUGCCCUCCUGGCGGCGCUGUUCUAGUUUUUCUUCCUGGAGUUGCAGAGAUUGACUUGCUGAUUGAUAGAUUAUCUGCUUCAGUUAGAUUUAGAGGGGCAUCAUCUGAUUGGAUCCUCCCUUUACAUUCGCUGCUUGGACCCUCUGAUCAAAGGAAAGUGUUCCAAUCUCCACCAGAUAACUUACGCAAGGUUAUUGUUGCCACAGACAUAGCAGAGACAAGCAUUACAAUUGAUGAUGUAAUAUAUGUAGUUGAUACUGGAAAGCACAAGGAGAACCGUUAUAACCCACGCAAGAAAAUGUCAAGCAUAGUAGAAGAUUGGAUUUCUCGUGCAAAUGCAAAACAGAGACGUGGAAGGGCUGGUCGCGUGAAGCCCGGGUUAUGUUUCUGUUUGUAUACAAGGCAUCGUUUUGAAAGCGUUAUGCGUCCAUUUCAGGUGCCUGAGAUGUUACGUAUGCCUUUGACUGAGUUGUGUCUGCAAAUAAAAUCACUUCAUUUGGGUGACAUCAAAUCAUUCUUGCUAAAGGCAGUAGAGCCCCCUAACGAAGAGGCUAUUUCCUCUGCAGUUGACUUGUUAUACAAGGUUGGAGCAUUUGAAGGACAUGAAGAGUUGUCACCUCUUGGGUAUCAUUUAGCAAAACUGCCUGUUGAUGUUUUGAUUGGAAAGAUGAUGCUCUAUGGUGCUAUCUUUGGUUGUUUGUCACCAAUUCUUUCUGUUGCUGCUUUCCUGAGUUAUAAAUCCCCAUUUAUCUCUCCAAAAGAUGAGAAGCAAAAUGUAGAGAAAGCAAAAGUAGCAUUAUCGAAUGAGAACCUUGAUGUAUCUAGUUCUACAACAGAUAAUAAACAAUCAGACCACCUGCUAAUGGUAAUUGCAUACGACAAGUGGUCCCGGAUACUGCUACAGAAUGGAGCUAAAUCUGCUCGUCAGUUUUGCCAUUCAUUCUACUUGAAUAGUACAGUGAUGCACACGAUCAGGGACAUGCGUCUUCAGUUCGGUACAUUGCUAGCAGACAUUGGACUUAUAGAUCUUCCUAAAGAUAGUCUGAGGCCUAAGGAUGGGAGGAGGAAAGACAUUCUUGAGAGUUGGUUUUCUAAUAUGUCCCUUCCAUUCAACAUGUAUGCUCGCUGCGCCCCAGCUAUUAAGUCGGUCAUAUGUGCAGGUAUAUACCCUAAUGUUGCAGCAACAUUGGAGGGUGUUGAUCCUGGAGCUCUAGGUGGAAGGAAGCCAUAUGAUAUUCUAUUCAGUAAGGACCGUCCUCGAUGGUAUGAUGGAAGACGAGAAGUUCAUAUACACCCAUCAUCUGUGAACCAUAGCUUGAAAGCUGUUCAAUAUCCAUUUUUGGUGUUUCUUGAAAAGGUUGAGACAACCAAGGUGUUUUUACGUGAUACUAGCAUCAUUUCCCCCUACUCGCUCCUUUUGUUUGGUGGUUCCAUGGUAAUCCAGCAUCAGAUAGGAGUGGUUGUUAUAGAUGGAUGGUUGAGGUUGGCUGCUGCUGCACAGACUGCUGUCUUAUUCAAGCAACUUCGAAUGACACUUGAUGCUGUUCUGAAAGAGUUGAUAAGAAAGCCGGAGAUGGCAACUUUUGUCAACAACGAAGUGGUUAGAUCCAUCAUUCAUUUACUGUUAGAAGAAGACAAGGCCCAACAAGCAUGAAUUCAUGAUCAACGAAUUAUUAUGUAGAUAAUGGUGGAAUUGUGGCAGAAUCAACCAAAGAACAGUAGUCUAUUGGUGCUCACUAAGGUGCCCUGAUUUUAAUUGCACAUGACCAGGCAUCAAUGUUGGUUCCUGCCGCCGUGCACAUUGCAUCCUGUUACGUUUUACAACAUUCUUACUGCAUAAUGGUGGCGAUUGGCAAUGUGAAACCUGCAAAGCAGAAAAGAGUUACAGCAAUAUAUUGCUGUGUUUUCUUGAAUAUAUAUGGAAGAAACGUUUGCCUGGAUCAAAUUACUGGAGCAUCCAAAACUCGAAAGCCUGAACCGUCAGUCAAUUGUUUGAAAUGUUGACUAGAAAAGAAAAUGAAAAACCAUACAUAAAUGAAACUAUAAACAGAUACCAUAGUGAACUGGUGAUGACGGUUGCAUUGGGAUUGAGAAAUGUAGCCUUGCACCUUUGUAAUUCGUGAAUUAUUGAUCCAAUUCUAGAUGACCAUUGCAUUUGAAUUUGGGAAUGCAACCGUACAUCUUGUACAAAGUGAUGUUCCGUUCUGAAGCAUUGUUAUUUCACAAGAAUUUGCAGUCA